rnacentral:rRNA from 1 species
CCUACGGGUGGCAGCAGUGGGGAAUAUUGGACAAUGGACGAAACUCUGAUGCAGCAACGCCGCGUGAAUGAUGAAGGUCUUCGGCUUGUAAAGUUCUUUUCUCAGGGAAGAAGAAAGUGACGGUACCUUAGGAAUAAGCCUCGGCUAACUACGUGCCAGCAGCCGCGGUAAUACGUAGGAGGCGAGCGUUAUCCGGAAUGACUGGGCGUAAGGGGUGCGUAGGUGGUUUGGCAAGUUAGUUGCGUAACUCCAAGGCUUAACCUUGGGAUUACUACUUAAACUGUUGGACUUGAGUGCAGGAGAGGCAACCGGAAUUCCUAGUGUAGCGGUGGAAUGCGUAGAUAUUAGGAGGAACACCAGUGGCGAAGGCGGGUUGCUAGACUGUAACUGACGCUGAGGCACGAAAGCGUGGGGAGCGAACAGGAUUAGAUACCCGAGUAGUC